rnacentral:tRNA from 1 species
GCCUGGCUGGUUCAGUUGGUAGAGCAUGACUCUUAAUCUUGGGGUCGUGAGUUCAAGCCCCAUGUGGGGCA